rnacentral:rRNA from 1 species
GGGUUGUGAGGUUAAGCGACUAAGCGUACACGGUGGAUGCCCUGGCAGUCAGAGGCGAUGAAGGACGUGCUAAUCUGCGAUAAGCGUCGGUAAGGUGAUAUGAACCGUUAUAACCGGCGAUUUCCGAAUGGGGAAACCCAGUGUGAUUCGUCACACUAUCAUUAACUGAAUCCAUAGGUUAAUGAGGCGAACCGGGGGAACUGAAACAUCUAAGUACCCCGAGGAAAAGAAAUCAACCGAGAUUCCCCCAGUAGCGGCGAGCGAACGGGGAGGAGCCCAGAGCCUGAAUCAGUGUGUGUGUUAGUGGAAGCGUCUGGAAAGGCGCGCGAUACAGGGUGACAGCCCCGUACACAAAAAUGCACAUGCUGUGAGCUCGAUGAGUAGGGCGGGACACGUGGUAUCCUGUCUGAAUAUGGGGGGACCAUCCUCCAAGGCUAAAUACUCCUGACUGACCGAUAGUGAACCAGUACCGUGAGGGAAAGGCGAAAAGAACCCCGGCGAGGGGAGUGAAAAAGAACCUGAAACCGUGUACGUACAAGCAGUGGGAGCACAGAGCAAUCUGUGUGACUGCGUACCUUUUGUAUAAUGGGUCAGCGACUUAUAUUCUGUAGCAAGGUUAACCGAAUAGGGGAGCCGAAGGGAAACCGAGUCUUAACUGGGCGUUAAGUUGCAGGGUAUAGACCCGAAACCCGGUGAUCUAGCCAUGGGCAGGUUGAAGGUUGGGUAACACUAACUGGAGGACCGAACCGACUAAUGUUGAAAAAUUAGCGGAUGACUUGUGGCUGGGGGUGAAAGGCCAAUCAAACCGGGAGAUAGCUGGUUCUCCCCGAAAGCUAUUUAGGUAGCGCCUCGUGAAUUCAUCUCCGGGGGUAGAGCACUGUUUCGGCAAGGGGGUCAUCCCGACUUACCAACCCGAUGCAAACUGCGAAUACCGGAGAAUGUUAUCACGGGAGACACACGGCGGGUGCUAACGUCCGUCGUGAAGAGGGAAACAACCCAGACCGCCAGCUAAGGUCCCAAAGUCAUGGUUAAGUGGGAAACGAUGUGGGAAGGCCCAGACAGCCAGGAUGUUGGCUUAGAAGCAGCCAUCAUUUAAAGAAAGCGUAAUAGCUCACUGGUCGAGUCGGCCUGCGCGGAAGAUGUAACGGGGCUAAACCAUGCACCGAAGCUGCGGCAGCGACGCUUAUGCGUUGUUGGGUAGGGGAGCGUUCUGUAAGCCUGCGAAGGUGUGCUGUGAGGCAUGCUGGAGGUAUCAGAAGUGCGAAUGCUGACAUAAGUAACGAUAAAGCGGGUGAAAAGCCCGCUCGCCGGAAGACCAAGGGUUCCUGUCCAACGUUAAUCGGGGCAGGGUGAGUCGACCCCUAAGGCGAGGCCGAAAGGCGUAGUCGAUGGGAAACAGGUUAAUAUUCCUGUACUUGGUGUUACUGCGAAGGGGGGACGGAGAAGGCUAUGUUGGCCGGGCGACGGUUGUCCCGGUUUAAGCGUGUAGGCUGGUUUUCCAGGCAAAUCCGGAAAAUCAAGGCUGAGGCGUGAUGACGAGGCACUACGGUGCUGAAGCAACAAAUGCCCUGCUUCCAGGAAAAGCCUCUAAGCAUCAGGUAACAUCAAAUCGUACCCCAAACCGACACAGGUGGUCAGGUAGAGAAUACCAAGGCGCUUGAGAGAACUCGGGUGAAGGAACUAGGCAAAAUGGUGCCGUAACUUCGGGAGAAGGCACGCUGAUAUGUAGGUGAAGCGACUUGCUCGUGGAGCUGAAAUCAGUCGAAGAUACCAGCUGGCUGCAACUGUUUAUUAAAAACACAGCACUGUGCAAACACGAAAGUGGACGUAUACGGUGUGACGCCUGCCCGGUGCCGGAAGGUUAAUUGAUGGGGUCAGCGCAAGCGAAGCUCUUGAUCGAAGCCCCGGUAAACGGCGGCCGUAACUAUAACGGUCCUAAGGUAGCGAAAUUCCUUGUCGGGUAAGUUCCGACCUGCACGAAUGGCGUAAUGAUGGCCAGGCUGUCUCCACCCGAGACUCAGUGAAAUUGAACUCGCUGUGAAGAUGCAGUGUACCCGCGGCAAGACGGAAAGACCCCGUGAACCUUUACUAUAGCUUGACACUGAACAUUGAGCCUUGAUGUGUAGGAUAGGUGGGAGGCUUUGAAGUGUGGACGCCAGUCUGCAUGGAGCCGACCUUGAAAUACCACCCUUUAAUGUUUGAUGUUCUAACGUGGACCCGUAAUCCGGGUUGCGGACAGUGUCUGGUGGGUAGUUUGACUGGGGCGGUCUCCUCCUAAAGAGUAACGGAGGAGCACGAAGGUUGGCUAAUCCUGGUCGGACAUCAGGAGGUUAGUGCAAUGGCAUAAGCCAGCUUGACUGCGAGCGUGACGGCGCGAGCAGGUGCGAAAGCAGGUCAUAGUGAUCCGGUGGUUCUGAAUGGAAGGGCCAUCGCUCAACGGAUAAAAGGUACUCCGGGGAUAACAGGCUGAUACCGCCCAAGAGUUCAUAUCGACGGCGGUGUUUGGCACCUCGAUGUCGGCUCAUCACAUCCUGGGGCUGAAGUAGGUCCCAAGGGUAUGGCUGUUCGCCAUUUAAAGUGGUACGCGAGCUGGGUUUAGAACGUCGUGAGACAGUUCGGUCCCUAUCUGCCGUGGGCGCUGGAGAACUGAGGGGGGCUGCUCCUAGUACGAGAGGACCGGAGUGGACGCAUCACUGGUGUUCGGGUUGUCAUGCCAAUGGCACUGCCCGGUAGCUAAAUGCGGAAGAGAUAAGUGCUGAAAGCAUCUAAGCACGAAACUUGCCCCGAGAUGAGUUCUCCCUGACUCCUUGAGAGUCCUGAAGGAACGUUGAAGACGACGACGUUGAUAGGCCGGGUGUGUAAGCGCAGCGAUGCGUUGAGCUAACCGGUACUAAUGAACCGUGAGGCUUAACCUUACAACGCCGAAGCUGUU